UCCGACCGUCCGCGGGUCUAAUCUUCAGUUCUAAGCUCUGGGAAUUAAAAGGCCAAGGAAAGACAUAGUAGAUGGCUGAAGAACUAUCUUGUCUGACAUUGUUGAGUAUUUCCUGUGUAUCCUUUAAUGGACUCUAGCCUGGAAGUCUUUGGACUUGACCUUACAACAUUGGCUCUUGUGUGGGUCUCCAGCCAACUGACCCAUCUUAAGGUUUUUGAAUUACCAGCCUACAUAAUCAUAUCACUUGUUCUCGGAAAGUUAGCUGUCAUGUCAUGAGCAGCAUAACAGAGGGUCCAUGUGUUGAGGUAACUGGGGCCUCUGAGCAACCCCCAGUGAGAAAGUGAAGGCUGCUAUCAACAGCCACAUAAAUGUGCUUGGAAAUGUGUCCUACAGUCUCAGUCAAGCUUUCUGCUGACAUCAGCCUAAACAUUGACUACAACCUCCUGAGAGAUGUCAGAACCAUCCAGUUAAACCACUCCCUGCUGCCUGA